GAAUGCCAUGACUGUAAGUCACUCUGGGUAAGAGUGUCUGCUAAAUGACCAAAA
rfam:Salmo salar isolate Sally breed double haploid chromosome ssa03, whole genome shotgun sequence.